rnacentral:rRNA from 1 species
GUGGGGAAUAUUGGACAAUGGGGGGAACCCUGAUCCAGCCAUGCCGCGUGUGUGAAGAAGGCCUUUUGGUUGUAAAGCACUUUAAGCGAGGAGGAGGCUACCGAGAUUAAUACUCUUGGAUAGUGGACGUUACUCGCAGAAUAAGCACCGGCUAACUCUGUGCCAGCAGCCGCGGUAAUACAGAGGGUGCAAGCGUUAAUCGGAUUUACUGGGCGUAAAGCGCGCGUAGGUGGCAAAUUAAGUCAAAUGUGAAAUCCCCGAGCUUAACUUGGGAAUUGCAUUCGAUACUGGUUGGCUAGAGUAUGGGAGAGGAUGGUAGAAUUCCAGGUGUAGCGGUGAAAUGCGUAGAGAUCUGGAGGAAUACCGAUGGCGAAGGCAGCCAUCUGGCCUAAUACUGACACUGAGGUGCGAAAGCAUGGGGAGCAAACAGGAUUAGAUACCCGUGUAGUCC